rnacentral:tRNA from 1 species
CAGAUGUAGUUCAAUGGUAGAACUUCAGCCUUCCAAGCUGACUACGUGGGUUCGAUUCCCAUCAUCUG